rnacentral:rRNA from 1 species
UACGGGGGGGGCAAGCGUUGUUCGGAAUUACUGGGCGUAAGGGCGCGUAGGCGGCCUUCUAAGUCAGACGUGAAAUCCCUCGGCUCAACCGAGGAACUGCGUCUGAUACUGGAAGGCUUGAAUCCGGGAGAGGGAUGUGGAAUUCCAGGUGUAGCGGUGAAAUGCGUAGAUAUCUGGAGGAACACCGGUGGCGAAGGCGGCAUCCUGGACCGGUAUUGACGCUGAGGCGCGAAAGCUAGGGGAGCAAACGGG